CUCACACUACUACAAAAAUGGGCAAAGAGACCCUCAAUGAAAGACCCUUUGAUUAAGAUAACAGGUCUCUUUAAUAUAAGAAAUCCAAUAUUAGAGAUAGCGGGUCUCUUAUGAGUCAAAGGGUCCACUUAAAAUUGAAGGGAGAAAAAUAAGAGACCCGUUAUCUUAUUUAACGGAUCUCUAGUGUAUAAAAGGCUCUACUUUUUUCUCGUAGAAAAUAACCCGUUAUUUUAACUAAACAGCUCUCUUAUAUAUUACAUGGCCCACCGCUGUUUUGGAAAAAUAAAGUAAAUUAAAAAAAGAGACCCCUGGUUUAACAUAACGGGUCUCCAGCUUUCUGCUUUCCUUCAUUUUGUCCUCCGCGUGAACCCAAUUCACGCUAUUGUGUUUGCCUCUCUCUUCCCUUCAAUAUACAAGUUUAGGGAAACCAUUGGUGAACUCACCACUACCGGCGAAUUACACUACCAUCGUCGACUUGCAUACCACCGGCGACCUCACCAUCACCACCACUAGCGAAAUACAAAUUUAGGUUUUUUUUUUCUCAUCACUCUCUUCUUCUCUUGAAUUUUUUUUUGAAAUUUUUGAAUCUCUUGUGGGUAAUUUCGAUUUCAGUUUAUAAUUUCUGCUACACAGUUAGGUUUUUUCUGAAUUUUUUCAACUUCAAUUUCAACUACGAAGUUGGAUUUUUUUUCCUGAAUUUAUGAAAUUUCAAUUCGUGCUAUAUCGUGUUUAAAUGUUAAUGAAAUUUGAAUUUUGGGUUAGGUUAUUCAUUAGCAUAUUGCGACUUUGAUGAACUGCUAUUUUUACGAACUGCUAGGCACCAGUAAGAAUUGAAGUUUACCUUCCUUUUAUCUCUCUUCCUCCCCUCUAGAUCUACCGAUUUCAAUUUCCUUUAAUCUGGGAAAUCUUCAACUGGUUUCUCAAUAUCUAACAGUUCUUGGGAGUUUGGCCCUUGCUCUUCAUGACAAUGUACAAGCUAGAGAAAUUUGAGUUCUGCUUUGACAUUGGCGAAGAAACUUAAUGAUGGCCCAACACAGAUCUGGGUACUAUCAAUUCUGUCAGAGUAAUUGCAACAUUGGACGUCUGGACGGUUGAAGUUGGCCGAAACUGUGCAUUUUUCUAAGGUAACUAAUAACUAGAGACGAUGUUGUCUUGCUUCAAAUGCCUACGAUUCCAUAUACAUUUACAUCCUUCAAUACCCAUCCAUCUCGGAAAUAUCGAGAAUAGGGGCAAGCCACUAAUCUAUUGUCGUUUUUGAAGAUUGCUGGUUAGCUCUGUCAAUUUGGAAAAUUUACGUGAUACAAAGAUACAGUGUUUUUAUUAGGUUUAUAUAGGUUGUAAUAAGAUUUUAUUCUUGUAGUUGCAUAAUUUUUGUAUUUUUAGACGUAAAAUUUAUAUUUAUGAAACUGAAUGAUCAUGAAUGAAUAAUAUGUAAUUGUGUAGA